GGAAAAAGAGAGAGAACCGCCCCUAAAACCAACACUUUUAGAAUCACUAAAAACCCCAUACGUGUAACUUUAUUGUUGGCUAAUUUUUUUUCUCUUCUCUCUCUCUCUUCCUCUUCCUCUUCGGCUCUUACGAUGAUGGUUGUCUGCUCGUAAACCCGAAUCCGAUGGUCAGUCAUGGGAACCUUCUUCCUCAUCUCCGUUCACGUUCGACAAGGAAAACGAGAAGCCCAUCCUCGUGAAAGCUCCGAACCCACGACGGAACAAUGAUUCGGAUUCCAGAGGAUACAGAAUCAGGGGAUAACAAUCCUUGGAGAUUUGGUUCUUAAAGACAAGAUCUUUGUCUAUGAUCUGGUGGGUCAGACAAGUUCUUAAAGACAAGAUCUUUGUACUGUUUUCCUAAAGAAAGGUCACGGUGAAAGUGAAGAACUCUUUGAGUUCAAAACAGAUGAAGCAAGUGAUCGAUGAACUUGAUAGAGCUGUGAUGAAGAUGAAGAAGGGUGAAGUGGCAUUGGUCACUUGAUAUGACUAUUGUGUCUUCUUCUGUUGUUGUGAAGGACAAGCCUCGAGUUCGCUUCAAACUGUUUGCCUAAUGAUUUGGUUGCGAGCUGUUCGGCAGUCAGGUGAAGCAAGCGCCUCGUUUGUGAACUCGGGAGGAACAAGAGCUAUUGUGGAGCUCUUGGGAGCUUUCGAGGGUUUUCUUGGAGACACUUAUUAAGGAAACUGGUUUUGAGCUUAAGUGACCGUAAAUCAGUGAAGAAGAAGAUGAGAUCAUUGUCAUAGUUGUUCCUGAUUACAAAAUGCUCGAGUAUGUUGAAAAAAUUGCAAAAGGACUUGCACAUGACCCGGUAACUAAACUCUGUAAGAUCUUAGUUUCAACUUUUACACCAAAAACUUUUUGUUCUAACAUCAACAAACAUUUUUCAAUGUUCUCUUUCAAACCAAAACCUUUCUGUAUUUGUAUUUUUAAUAUGCUUUAAAUUUUUUUUUUAAGAACCUCAAUGAGGUUCUCCCAUUGGACAAUGAAAAAUUUAAUUAGACUAACAAGGGUUCUAAACU